rnacentral:sRNA from 1 species
AUGCUAACCUCUGCGUUACGAUAGCCUCCUAAGGAGCCACACAUAUAUUAAUGUUCGACAGACACAUGGAAUCGAAACAAAGAGUGUUGAUGCUUUGAAGACGAGUUGCGUUUGUAAAGUGGUUGAUAAAACCAUUAAAGGUACACGAGGAUUGGUAUAGGAAAAAUAAGAGAAUAAAUGAAUAAAUUUUAAGCAAAAACUUCACCUUUUAAGCUGGCUGGUGAUUCACAGCGAAGAAUACAUGACUUUGUGAUUGCUUUUUUGAAACACUACAAAAAUUUCAAUAACAUGAAAAUUUUAUUGAAAUUUUAUCAUAA